ACUGUAACAGUAAUUAUACAAAUAUUUAGUUUGUAAAAUAUUUUUUCUUUUGCUCAUUUGCACAAUUGGUGGUUUAAAAUAUAUCCUUUUGGAAAUAAAUUAUAUUUAUAUAUUUUAAACCAUUUUAAAGUAAUCAUUUUGCAAUCGCUUUCAUCUGCAGCGUCUUCUAAAAAUCAUCAUUUAUCAUCGAAGCCCUAAUAUCUAUAACGAAAUGCUAAUCAAAAUAGCCUUUACCACUGCUUAAAAUACAAUGAAAUAUCGCUUGCCAUAAUUAUUGUUUAAGAAGCCACAUCGUCUCACAGAGUAAUUUAUUUUUCAAACGCUCUACUGACGUUACGAAGUGAAUUUGGAGUUAAAACAUUAUUAAAUGUGGUAUUUUCGUGUGCUCACAGAUGGAGCAGCAUUACUACACAGAGCAAUAAUUUUGCAAACAGCUGCCAUGUUUGUGAAUGAUUUAAUUUCAAAAUCCUACAAUUAUAUCACCUGCUAUUAGGAACAUGAUUUUGCAUAGCUUGUCAGAGAGAACUACAGCUCUCACAGAACCUGCUUUAAUGACUAAAAUGUACAUGAGAAAAUUGCGAUUAAUCGCGUUCGAUUAAUCGUGCAGCCCUAAUGCAAACGUGUUAACUCAUGACGUAUAAAACUAACCAGCAGAAGAUUCGAAAAUAUGACGACUCGUUGAGGCGGUUCAGAGUCUGAAUAUUUCUUUUAAAAUACGAUAUUUUCAUUUAUCAUGCACUUUUUUGAUGAACAACUUUACAGACUGUUUACAUUACAGGGUAGCUACGUUACAAACUGCAAAAUAGAUGUUUUUCGAAAACCCUUAUGACCUGCUUUUUAACGAUACAACGGUUGCAACGCAUGAAUCAACCCACGCUGGGUUCAAACCUUCAACCUUCCAGUUACAAGAUCUUUAACCACCACCCUAUCAUGACUCACAUACAGCAACUGUAAAUCCCUUCCCACACAGCAAAUCUUCCGAAAAUAAGAGCUUGCUAGAAAAAAAAGAAGCAUUUGAGACGUUCACUCACAUCUGAUACUCACAUGAUCACACCGUCAGUACUUUGACCUGAAAAGACUGGAAUUAUUACACUAAGUAAAUAUUGACUGCUGGACAACAGCUCAUUUGCUAGAGACCGAGGUGCCUUCCCAGUACUCAUAUUUUAGUUUGGCUCUGCAUACAUAUGCGCACAUUUCAGACGCAUAAAAAAUAUUUUAGCUGCAGUCUGUUGGGUGGUUUUGCAUAAACAAGUUCAAAAACUGUCACACUUCCUUUAUUAGACAGAACAUGCUUGUUAUACACACAUAUACGCGCGCUCUCUAACAGUGUGCCUUCAGAGUCAGUUUGGAAAACUGGGUCACAUUCCGUCUGAUAUUAUUUACUCAACUACAAGAGUCCUUCAAGAACUUAAAAAAUUCAGUGUAAACCAGCAGAGCUGAAGAACUACGGCUGAAGAAGAACAGGCAGAUCCGAGGGUGUCAGAGGAGUGAAAGUGAUCGGUCUUCUCUUUCUGUCUGUGUGUGUUUGAGAUGACCAGGUAUCCAGCAGAAAGAAACUUUCAUAUGAGGAGGCAUUAAGAAAGCAGAUGCAGUGGUCAGCGAUCCUCAUGUUUCUGUCUGUCUGCAGGGUUUGGGCUCUUCCACUCUUCCUCUUCCUUGGUUAUUAUCUGUGCUGCUUUCUUAUUUAUCUAAUUUUCUAACCAUAUAUUUCAUCAUGUUGCAUUUUAAAAACAGAAAAUUAGGCAUUUGUGAUUCAUUCAUGUCGAGAAAACGGUUGCGACAGUCUUAAACUGUAUGUCAGAAAAGGACCAUCAAAUAUUCACUUUUCAUUUUUAUCAAAUAAAUUGUCAGGAAUGCAGUUUGAUCCCUAUUUGGUUGCCUUAUCACGUGUCUGAAACCUGCAGAGUCAUGCUUUUUACAAGAAAUAUAUAACCGACCCAGUGAUUAAAACUGCUGACAUAACCAUGUGAUUUGAUAACGGCUGUUUGCUUCGACAGGGAUGAUGGUGGGCGGUUAUUUUUGGGGGUAUCUGGCUGAUCGCAGAGGAAGGCGGAGUGUUCUGGUCGUCUCACUGGCAGUGAAUGGCACAUUUGGGGCGGAGGCCAGUUUGGCUUAGAGUCUCUGGCUCUUUUUGCUCCUGUGGUUCUUCAGUGCAGUUAGGGUCGGCGGCUCCAUUCCUGUCAUCUUCUCUUGUUUUUCUGAGUUUCAGCCACGUUUGAGGAGGGAGGUUAUGAUCAGCGCUCUAGGAUGACUGGAAAUAUUUUAACAGCAGGGCAGCGGGUCUUAUAGUAAGAUCCAGAGAUGAUGGAGUAACAGGCUCUGGAUCCCAUGAAACAGCUGUUUGUUGGAGCGCUGGCUUCCAGAAGUGUGGUUCUGCUGAUUCGAUUUUUCUGCAUUUCAUUUGGUGUAUAUGGAGGGUUUCGUAACAGCGGCUUCAAACUUGCCGGGAAACAUUUUCACAAUCCUUCUCAUGGACCGAAUUGGCUGGAGAAUCCUGCUUUCCGUCAGUUUGCUGAUGUUCAACCUCAGUCUGUCAUCUGCAUGGUGAACUGGACGUGUUGGGAACUGAACUUUAUUCCACACAACUAUGCUCAUCAGCUCGGGGGGUUUUUACUGGAGUGGGUCGUGUAGUGGCCAUCAUGGGAAAUGUAGUGUUUGGGCAGCUGACUCUAACUGUGCUGUACCUGCGCUCCUGCUGCUCUACGACUGCCUCAAACUAAACAGACUGAACUCACUUGAUACAAACACACACUCAGUUGACAUCAGUAGUCUCUGUCAAUCCUGGGAUUUUGGGACCAAACACUAAACCAAAGAGCUUUGACACAUUUUUUAUGCUUUUUUAAAACUUAUGCAGUUUUGCCCUAAAUGUUGCACAAGUUCACUUCGAGAAGUCAGCCCACAGAGUCCGCACACUUCUUUACCAUGUUUUCUGUUCUGACUUUGGGGUAAAUAUUUUGUGAAGUGGUUUUUAAUAUGGUAAAAUACUGAGAAUAAUUCUUAAUGAUUGCUUAAUUAUUUUAAGUAUUUGUAUAAUAGAAAGUCAUAAACUAUAUAAUAUCUUGUUUUUAACAACAACAAAAAAAUAAAUGUUGGGCGGUAUUUGAUUUUAUAUUUGUUUAUUUUAUAUAAGCCGUGUUACAUUAUAUUAUAAUAGUUAACUUUACAUUUGUCUUUCCAUAUUUCAUGUUUUUUUUUUCUAACACUUUCAUUAUUGAGCCAAGAAACAAACAGAACAAUGUUUCAGUGCUUCAACAACUUUAUUUUGUCCAAUCAGAACAUUUGUAAAUAACCAUGGCAAUCUUUGCAGAGCGAUGAGGUAGAGACUUUGAAAUUCUAAAAAGCGGCUGCAAAAGGCAACGAGGAAGAGAUUAUACUCUUUGGCACAGCUUCAGCGAGAAACC